rnacentral:rRNA from 1 species
CCUACGGGUGACAGCAGUGAGGAAUAUUAGUCAAUGGACGAGAGUCUGAACCAGCCAAGUCGCGUGAAGGAUGACUGCCCUCUGGGUUGUAAACUUCUUUUAUAAAGGCAUAACACGAGGCACGUGUGCCUUUUUGCAUGUACUUUAUGACUAAGCAUCGGCUAACUCCGUGCCAGCAGCCGCGGUAAUACGGAGGAUCCGAGCGUUAUCCGGGUUUAUUGGGUUUAAAGGGAGAGUAGAUGGGUUGUUAAGUCAGUUGUGAAAGUUUGCGGCUCAACCGUAAGAUUGCAAUUGAUACUGGCAGUCUUGAGUAGAGUUGAGGUAGGCGGAAUGCGUGGUGUAGCGGUGAAAUGCUUAGAGAUCACGAAGAACCCCGAUUGCGAAGGCAGCUUACUAAACUGUGACUGACAUUGAUGCUCGAAAGUGUGGGUAUCAAACAGGAUUAGAUACCCGAGUAGUC